GAAGCAGCGGCUUGGAUUUCCUUAGGAGAUGUACUAGCGGGGCGUGGAAGUGUUUUUGCAAGUUCGGGGAAGUUAAGGUGAGCCGAGCAGCCUUUGAUGGCUAGUGCGGCUACAUCGUGGGCUCGAGCUGCCAUUUCUGCGGUGGGGUAAGUCCCGAGCCAUAUUCUCGAUUUCUUUUUUGGUUGUCGGAUUUCGGACACCCAUUUGCCCCAACUCCGCAUUCGUACACCACGGUAUACCGGUUGCUUCCUUUCCAAGUCUCCUACAGCUUUCUUUGAACCUUUAAAAGCUACACUGUUUUUUGAAGUUUUCUUGUUUUGUUUAGGACCCGAAACGGAGAAUGUGAUGGAGGUGGCCACGGUGGUAGUGGUAGAGAUGACGGAACAAGAAGUAAGCGGGUUAUUAUAAUGAGCAUCAUUCUCAAUGUCGAUAUCCCUUUCCAUGACAGAUAGAUAGAUGCCUAGUUUUUUG
rnacentral:lncRNA from 1 species